rnacentral:rRNA from 1 species
GAUGAACGCUGGCGGCGUGCCUAACACAUGCAAGUCGAACGGAGUCCAGCCUUUAAGACCUUCGGGUCAAAGAGGGGAAGACUGAGUGGCGGACGGGUGAGUAACACGUGGGCAACCUGGCUCAUAGAGGGGGAUAACAGAGAGAAAUUUCUGCUAAUACCGCAUAAGCACACACUGCCGCAUGGCAGAGGGUGAAAAGAGAAUCGCUAUGAGAUGGACCCGCGUCUGAUUAGCCAGUUGGGAGGGUAAGAGCCUACCAAAGCGACGAUCAGUAGCCGAUCUGAGAGGAUGAGCGGCCACAUUGGGACUGAGACGCGGCCCAAACUCCUACGGGAGGCAGCAGUGGGGGAUAUUGCACAAUGGGGGGAACCCUGAUGCAGCGACGCCGCGUGAGUGAAGAAGUAUGUCGGUAUGUAAAGCUCUAUCAGCAGGGAAGAUAAUGACAGUACCUGAAUAAGAAGCCCCGGCUAACUACGUG